rnacentral:rRNA from 1 species
AUUGAACGCUGGCGGCAUGCUUUACACAUGCAAGUCGAACGGCAGCGCGGGCUUCGGCCUGGCGGCGAGUGGCGAACGGGUGAGUAAUACAUCGGAACGUGCCCAGUAGUGGGGGAUAGCUUGGCGAAAGCCGGACUAAUACCGCAUACGACCUGAGGGUGAAAGCGGGGGAUCUUCGGACCUAGCGCUUUUGGCGCGGCCGAUGGCAGAUUAGCUAGUUGGUGGGGUAAAGGCCUACCAAGGCGACGAUCUGUAGCUGGUCUGAGAGGACGACCAGCCACACUGGGACUGAGACACGGCCCAGACUCCUACGGGAGGCAGCAGUGGGGAAUUUUGGACAAUGGGCGAAAGCCUGAUCCAGCAAUGCCGCGUGUGUGAUGAAGGCCUUCGGGUUGUAAAGCACUUUUGGCGGGAACGAAAAGGACUGUGCCAAUACCACGGUUCGAUGACGGUACCCGCAGAAUAAGCACCGGCUAACUACGUG